UACGUAGGGGGCAAGCGUUGUCCGGAUUUAUUGGGCGUAAAGCGCUCGCAGGUGGUCCGUUGCGUUCGUGCGUGAAAGCCCCCGGCUCAACUGGGGAGGGUCACUCGAUACUGAUCGAACUCGAAGGCAGGAGAGGGAAGUGGAAUUCCCGGUGUAGUGGGUGAAAUGCGUAGAUAUCGGGAGGAACACCAGUGGCGAAGGCGACUUCCUGGCCUGUUCUUGACGCUGAGGCGCGAAAAGCUAGGGG
rnacentral:rRNA from 1 species